ACUACUUUCACUCAACUCCAGGGGUACUCAUGACAGCUAUCAUCCCCAUAUCUUCUCCUGAUUGGCACUGACACAGCACAGGGCUGUGGAUGAAGCAGGGGAGGAAAGAGGCUGCUGUAGGAAAACCUGGUCUAGCAGAAGUCUUUUCUUUGUGGGUUUUAGUGCAAGGGAAAACAUGUGUGUUUCCCCUUGCAUUGGUAUACUGAUAGACAGUCAGCUGAAUAUGAGCCAGCAGUGUGUCCAGGUGGCCAAGAAGGCCAGCAGCAUCCUGGCUUGUAUCAGGAAUGGUGUGGUGAGCAGGACUAGGGAAGUAAUCCUGCCCCUGUACUCAGCACUGAUGAGGUCCCACCUAUAGUACUGUGUUCAGCUUUGGGCACCUCAAUACAGAAAGGACAUUGAGGUGCUGGAACAGGUCCAAAGAAGGGCAACAAGGCUUGUGAAGGGCUUGGAGAAUAUGCCCUAUGAGGAGCAACUGAAGGCAAUGGCACUGUUUAGUCUGGGGAAGAGGAGGCUGAGGGGAGAUCUUAUUGCUCUCUUCAAAUACCUGGAAGGUGAUUGCAGUGAGAGCGAUGUUGGUCUCUUCUCACUGGUGACAGGUGACAGGAUGAGGGGAAAUGGCCUCAAGUUGCGCCAGGGGAGGUUUUGGUUGGAUAUCAGGAAAAAACAGAAAGGGUUGUUAAGCACUGGGAUAGGUUCCAGGGAGGUGGUUGGGUCACCGUCCCUGGAUGUGUUUAAAAACCAUUUGGAUGCGGUGCUCAGGGACAUGGUUUAGCGGAGGGUUGUUAGAGUUGGGGUAGUAUGGUUAGGUUGUGGUUGGACUUGAUGAUCUUUAAGGGCUUUUUCAACCAGAGCAAUUCUAUGCUUCUACGAUUCUGAGGGUAUCCUCAGUAUUGCUCAGUGGAUGGUUGUAGUCAGGGCUCAAAGACAGAGCUACAUCUGAUGUGAGCCUGGAGAGGAGCUGCCACAGGAGGGAGUGGGCUGCCAAAGUCAUUCUCCUUCUCUAAAGCAGGAUGUUGCCUGAAGCCUAGGCCUGACCAAUUGCACUGGGCUGCUGUCACAGUUCCCCCUCCCCUGCCCUUCCCGGGGGCACCCUUGAGGUCGUCAUGAUGAAGGGGAAGGAGAAGGUACUGUCCAUGUGGCUUUCCCAUUGUUUCCUCAAGGAUUGUGGGGAUUGCUUUAGAAAGUGUGCUAUCUUUCUCACUGUGCAGUUUUGCUGAUUUUUUUCAUUGCUGUUGUGUUUAAUUUGUUUCUUAAAGGAAUGAAACUAGUAGGAGUGUAGGGUUUGACUGGACGUCUGUCUCUUUGUUACUAAGUUUUGAGCGCAGUGGCAGGUUUCAGACAAAUGUGACAGAGGGCUAAAGCUCUCUCAGAUAAUUAAGUAACAAACAUCAUGAAAAUAGACAAAUGGGUAGAGGAGACAGAUGCUGUAAAUGCCCUUACUGUGGGAAAAACUGCAGAGUGGUAUCUCACAUCAUUAGGCACUAGAACAGCCACAUGGGAAAAAGGCCCCUAUAAAUGCUCCAAACAUGGAGCGAGCUUCAGCUGGGUUUGUGUUGCAUGUGUGCCAGACCCAACCACUCACAAGAAUAAGCUCAACAGAAAACGGGCUUAAAUUUCUUCUGAGCUCAAAUAGCUGCUUUUCUGAUUGGCAUCCCCACAAAAUGUUCUUUUCAUUCAACUAUUUAUAUUUUUGAGAAAGAUAUUAUCUGCCUGUAAGCAGGUAGAUUGAGUUGCGUGUGAUCUAAACAGAAAGCAGUGCCAGCUCCCUUAUUCUGCUCAGAACCACUUUACCCACAGUAAGUCCUGCACUUUGGCAACUUGGAAAAAUGGUCACAGUGAAGAAUCUUUGUGUUGUGCUGAGAAAUCCAUAGCUAUCAGGAGAAUUGAGUCAAUAGUGUGGCCCUGAUUGCAUGUGUUGUUGUGAGAAGGAUUCAGGAAUAAACAGCAAAGCCCAGCUGAGAGAAAUUAGAAGCGCUGGCUCAUGCUAUGGUAUUAGCAGUGUCCUAGACAUAAUGGAGAUGCAGUAGUUCCCACAGCCAAAAUAGAUGAAGCUAGCAAGGUCAAGAACUCCACACACUGCUAGUUAACCAUGUUGCUAAAUAUUUGGUGUUAUGGCAUUCUGGAAUAACACUGGCAGAGAUAUACACAGAGGCAAAUGAGACAGGCAUGUCCUGCCAUGGCUGAACAUUCCAGCUGAGUGUGGCUGCAUCUGGGGCACAGCUGGAUACCAGAAACAGUCAGUCCUGGUCAGUUUCAGGAAUACUGUCAGUUCUAGUUUUGGAAAAAUUAGCUGAAAAUUUAGAAAAUGCCAGGAAGAUCAUUUGUAAAUCAUUUCUGGGUGUCCAAAGCUAAUCACCUAUGUUUCUGCUAUACUAAAAACUCCUCCUGGAGGGUUUUAUAACACCUUGUGCACUGUCAAGAAAAAAGGUUAGGAAACAGACACGUCUUGGCUUUGUAGCCCAUAAUUUGGUGAGUGAUUUAGAUCUGUGGCUCAGCCCAAAGUUCAAGGGAGGGUGUAGAGUCAAACUUCCUUCUGUAGCCCAGCUCUAUUUAAAGAUACUUUUUAAAACAAAAGCCUUUUCUGGAUAGCCUCUGCAGAAUUUGUUACUAAACAGAUGCUCAGAUAUCUUUAUAGUAUCAACCACAUCUUUAUUAUUCUGUGCUAUUUCUGAUAAUUCUGCCACCAUCAAAUAAGAGAGAAAGAGAAGAAUCUUUCCUUUUAAGUCUCUGUCUUAGUGCAGCACUGGUUUUUCCUCCACUGGGUGAUUUCAGGUUACCUGCCAUCUGUGGCAUGACAUGGAGACUGACUAUGGGUAAAGCACCAUAGUAUUUUAGCACAUGUUCAGUAGCAACAAGCCAGCAUAAGUGAGUGAAGAAAACAGAAGCCUAAUCAUUACUCCAUGUUCCUAGUGCAUAAAGAGAGAUACUGUCCACCCACACAGUCUGAUCGAUGCCAACUUUUUAGCAAACUUAGGGCUUUAGUUCAGCUUCUCUGAUUUGUGCUCAUACGAUCUCUCAGCUCUCACCUCAGUGGUGACUUUUGUGAGCCGACUGGAGGUGACUCUGCCAUGAUGCUCAAGAAGGGUCUGCUAGGAAUGUGUGCUGAGGAAGGAGAGGUUAAGAACGAAGCCUCUUAGUGCCUCUGGGGGCUUCGUGAGAUAACACAGUGGCUUAGGCUUGACAGGAUUUUGCCAGACUCUACUCUUUCGCACAGAGCUGCCCACAUAGUGUCUUUUUGCCUCUGUUCCCCUGAUUUGCCUACUGUUUCCCAUGUUUUAAAAGCUGCUUUGUCCUCUCUACAUGGGUGCUCUGUAAUCUCCUGAGCAGGGAAUGGUGUAUUUGGAACAAGCUCUGAAAUACAACGAUGGUGAUGUCAUUUUAUUAAAAAGGUGCCAAUUUGGAAUGCUCAGGAAAUUUGAGACCAUUUAUCUACCAUCCUUGUUAAAAAUAGAUGGCUCAUAAUAUUAUAUUGAGUUGCAAUCAGGAGUGGACAUUGCUCAGCCCUGGGCAGAGGGUGGAGAAGUUUCUGAGAAAGAUAAUUCACCCACAGUAGACAUAUUGAUUAAGAAAAUGCCUUUCAGUUUACAAAAAGAGAAGAAAUACAAAACACUGGUGGGUGGAGGAAAUAUUAACUGGACAAUUUUGAAUCAUAACAACACACAUAAAUUUUUCCUUUCAGAGGACAAAACCUAUAGUAAUAGGUUUUGCAGAGAAUAGUAAUAGGUUUCUGCAGAGAAAGUCUGCCUAGAUCAGUGUGUGUGAACUGAUAUAUCUAACAUUUCUGGAUUCCACCAUUGCCCUCUCUCACGAUUGUUACAGUUCUGGUUAUGUUAUAAAUUAAAGGGUGGUACACUCCCUCAAAAACAAAAUAUGAGUUGGGAACUCAUGUUUCAGUGAGAACUGCCUAUGGGAGACAGAUUCUAUGUCAGGCUCAUCUUUUGGUACAACAGCUGUUGAUUUUUCAGUGCUCAAACAACUGUAGAAAGUUUGUAAAGAAACAGUUAUUAGUAAGACAUUUUCCCACUUGCCCAUUUAUUUUUUUCUGUUAAAAAAAAAAAAAAAAGAUGAUCUUUUUGCACUGGACAUUAUAGUCAAGAAAGAAAAUGAUGAUUUAGAACAGCCUUACUGAAGGUUAACCUCUGGCAUGUUAGAGGCCUAAAGAAGCCAGCCUACUUUCUUAUGAAUAUACACCAGCAAUCAAGAUCAUCAGCAAGGGCAAAGGGGAUUCUUGGGUCAAUAUCCAUUACUCACAGUUCUACUACCUCCCACAGUGUUUUGAGUGUGUGCAUACAGGUAUGUAUUUGAUAAAAACUCAGUGCAAUUUUGAAGUUUAAUACAUGACAAAACAGAGUUUCUUAGAAAAUAAAUAGGAUCAGUCAUGCAGAAUUUUUAUUUCAUUUUUUUCUCCUUUCUCCCUCUUAAGUUUCCUUCAAGGGAGAAUAUUUUCAUUUUUCUACUAGUCAGAGAUUAUGAGGUCACGCUACAAAUUGGAAAGCUCUGAGGUGGCAAGUUUGGGCUCAUGAUAAUGCAAGAAUCUAUUUUACUAUUAAUUGGUUUAAUGAGUAUUCUGAAAACCUGCUCUACUGCAGGGCUUGAUCGUCCUAUGCAGUGCAAAAUACAGAGCCUUUUGUAUGCAAACUAAGUAGAUGUAUGCAGAAGCAGGAAAGUUAUAACUCUGCUUAUUGCUUAGCAUCUUGGUAAAGAAGAAACUUAGGGCUGUGCAUUUCACAAGACUGUAAGAAUUUUUUUGAUGAACUAAAUAUUAAAAUUUAAUUUUCUUAUUAAUAUUGUAGAAAGCAUCCUUUUAAAAUUGUCUGCAUUGUUAUAUUAAAUUAACUGCAUCUUAUGAGAUUCUUAACACAGAUUUUCUAAAAAAUAUAUUGAUAUUAUGUAUUUUACCCUUUCAAAUCUAUCCUGUACAGAUUGCUUUUGACUACUAUGAAUUCUUUAACAUGAUGUCAUUUGUAUUUAAGGUGUACAAAUUAUCUCUAGGCUCAGCACAGCUAAAUGGAAACAGCAUGAUGUAGCUCUCGAGGCUGUGCUGCAUAGCAAUACUUUUCUGUAACUAAAGUUCAGGUUGGAGCAGGAGCCAGAGCUCCUCUCCACAAGAAUGUAUAUAUGAACAAGAGUAAUAGUCUGGUCAUAUUUCCUCACUCAGGUUAUUGCAUUUCUUAUCAUUAGAGGUUAAACUCAAGCCAAACAUGAGGUCUGAUCUGCAGACACUCACUGCAGCAGGGCUGCCUCCAGGAGUGGAGAAAAUGUUCUGUAGUAGGUGGUGUGGAGAGAUGCUGAGUUUGAAGUCAGUAGCGAAUACCAAAGUGCAAAUUUACAAAUAAUUGCUUUCUCUAAUUAGUUCUACCUGCAGACUCAUUGUGCCUCAAACAAGAAGGGUGCCACCUGGGAGAUUCUUAUACUUAACUUUGGGAUCUCUCUGCCAUGGGAACACUGCAAGAGUGUCUCCUCACUCAUGAGUGUCUCUUCAGCAGGAGGAAGUGCCACCAGAGGGUGGUGUGAAGCCAAGUGAGAUCACCCUGAGCUCUCUGUCCCUGUCCCUGUUCUGGGAAGCAUGUGGAGGGACCCCAAGUGCCUGAAGGUCAGCUCCUGGUGUGCAGAUGGUUGGUGGUGCUGCAUAGAAGAGCACUGGCAGACCUUCGCUCCCCCACCAGUUAGCUAUACAAUUCACAACCUUGAGUAUUUUAAGACUGCUAUAAACUGUGCCAGAGCUUGUUCUGGCCAAUGGCCAGGCGAAAGCCAGAGUAAUAUGAGUGGGAAAAUGCUUCCUACCAACAUUUCCCUCAGCUGCCCUCAGCUGCUCCAGGCAAGGCCAUGGUACAGCUGCAGGCCUAGUGAGGUGCUGGCCACAGUGAAAAAAAGGGAAACAUGCUGGGCUGUUUUGAGAUGGUGAUUUCAUUAAAAAAAAAAAUAGUAAAUGUAUUUCAGUCAGGAAUUUAUGAUUGAGGUUUAAUUCCAUGAGUGGAAAAUUGUUUUUCACCUUGUUUGGUCAUUUCUACACUGAUGACUGGGUGUGAAGCUUUAGCACUUCUGUAAGUCUGAUUUGUCAGCACUUUGUGCCAGCCAAGCUCAGAGAAGACAGGGGACCCAUAGGGAAUGAGAAAGAUGAAAACUGAGCCACUGCAGCUUCUUUUCUACAAUGAAAACUCCAGAGACACUAGAAAUCCUGCAGGGCUCCCAACUGGAGAAGGUGUUCUCUCCUAACAACAGAAGUCAACAGGGCAUUCGAAAGGUUAUUCAGGUCAAGUCAGCUGGAGCCUGAGAUGCAAUUGCCUUGAGUUAGUAUUAACAAGAAAAAUCAUUCAUCAUAACAUUGAAUUCUCCAAACGGAGGUUGUGGGAUUGUAGAUAUUUUUAUUUUUGUUUUUAUUGAGUGAUAAUGUUGAAAACAGGGCAGUUCGGAUGGUGAAAUGUGUACUUUCAGUAGUCAUGCUAGUUUUUACAGAACGUGAGGCCAGAAAUAGGCCAAGCUGGGCCCUAUCAUGUAAUAUAAACAGGGAAACUACUAAAGGAAGUAGUAGCACUAGCACAUUUCAUUCUUUAGAAAUCAAGAAAUCUCCAGAACUGACUUCUAGUAGCACUGGAGAAGACAGUAUUUUUCAGUGUUACUACCUCCCUCGAUUACCUGUGAGGAUGCCCAUCAAUAGCAAGACAGAAGUAGUGGAAGGAAAGUCAGAGAAAUACUAAGAACAGAGGAAAAGCAGUGAGCAGAAGAAAAUUCCAUUUACUUUGGCUUUCCUACUCUGAGUUAAUAGGAUCUAACAGAAAGUGCAAAAGUUUGCUGUGGACUGAACCAAGGCAAUCAUUAUUGUCUGAUACUUGAAAUGUCUGCUCAUGGAAGACGAACUUGUUAAGUACCCAACAUAAUCUUAGAAAUAGACUCUGCAAAGUAUAUCUUUUGCUGAUUUUUUCUGAGUUUGAAAGGACGGAGCAGACUUAAAUGUAAAAGUCUGGUUAAUAAAAUAUAAUUUUUACCAGAGAAAUAAAAUGAAGCAGGAGGAUCUUGGACUGAAUUCUUCACCUUCUGGAGUUAUAGAAAUAUGUUUAAUUCAUUAUGAAGAAUGGCUUCUCCUACUGCUCCAAGGAGCCUGAGUCCAGAAUGUUCUCCCUUGGUCUUGUUAUUUGGCUAUAAUGAAGAAGAUGUAAAUCUUUAAGUACCAUUAAUGCAAAGGUUUCAAGAUCACAGGAUAAGUCUAAGCCAUAUAUGAGAGGCAAGAGAUCGAUUUUGAGCCUUCUUAAAUCUCUAGGUCAUGUGACCAAGGAACCAGUGGAACAGCUGUGGGUGACAGAGUGCCAAGUGAGACCUCUGGAAAGGAUGGCGAGCAAAGAGAGCUGAUCUUCUCACCCAAGGAAUUGUUGUAAACAAUGUUGAGUGGAUGUGAAGAUGAAAGCCCUAGCAGGAGACAUGCCUUUUGUGCCUUUUUGGCUAAGCUUCUAACAGUGAGCCGUGAAGUUGUCAUUCAGCCCUUGUCAUUCACAAUAUGUGAGCCACAUGCAAGGCAGUUCCAUACAGCUGAAAGGAGAGCUGUUAGAUAGCAGAGUUGGAUUCGUAGCCUGCCAUCAGGACAGCCAAACAUGCACUGCCGAGGUGUGAAUUAUGAAAGUUAGUUUCCAAAUGGCCAAGGAGCAAUAAACAUUAGUAUAAACCAGACAUGGGCUCACGCCAAAUAACCCCAACUCUCAGGGUGUUUGAUUUGCAAACAUUUGAUCAGGAUCCAAGCUUUGCAGCUGGCCUUAUCUCUGCAGUGGCCAAGCCAAAACCCUAGGGUUCACAGCCACAUGGCACAUUUUGUGAUCCAAGGAUGCAGUGUCAGAAUACCUGCUCCUUUGCCACCUGCAGCAAACAGCCUGUUUUAUCUAUAGUCCCUUGUGCUUUCUGUUUUGCUCUGGUAUUCUUUCCCUGUCAUAGUAUUUUUAGUCUGUUAUAUUUAUACUGGAAGUUCUCUGAACAAGGGACAUGCUUUAAAUCUGUUUUGAGCAACUUGGGUUGAAUUAUGCAAUACUGGGGAAAAUCAUCAACGUAAAGGAUGGAACCUGAGCAUGAACUUUGUGCCUUCCAUGCAAGACUGACAAGGGGUACUAAACUGCUGUGCUUGUGAAAGAGAGGAGAGUAGACAAUACGUUUAAUAAACAUACCCAAUUCAGCUUGGAAGACCUUCUAAUAUUUUAAAAGAUGUAGCAGAGCUGGUUAGCAGUAGGUGACUGUAAAAUCCAAGCCAGAUAUCUCCAGCCAUUCCUAGGGUCAAAGACUGGACUCUAACCAUCUGUGUUUAUUCUUUCCACCUCAAAUCCCACUGACUAAGUGUUAAAUGAAGAUUGGCAGUCUGGAGAUUGCAAGUGUUUUUAUUCCCCAGGAUGUAAUGCAGAGAGAGGAAAAUCACUUGGGUUUGCCAAAAUACACUCCUCAUUUCACCUCCAGCAGCAGUAGCUAUGGAAGGAGUUGUGUGAUCAUCCUGUUCCCAGUGGACUCUCUUUUUCUUGCUGGACCUUGCCUCUCCAUCUCAGAAAAGCAAAGAUUUUGGUACCUCUGGCUAGAAAUAAAUGAAGGCACCCUCAGUACUGUACCAGCUCCACCACAAGAUGAAGUCAAAGUUCACAAUUCCUCUUCUCGCUUUUCCCUUUUACCUCUGCCAUGAUGGUUACUGUGGUACAGGAAAGAAGAAAAUAUCCAAUUGUAAUGGUUACAAGAAUGUCACAGGAGGCACCUCUCUGCUGCUCUAGUCUCCAUCAACCAAUAUUAGUGCAGAUCUUCAGUGAACGCCAGAGAAUUUGCAGUAUAUUUGAAAUUAUGUUGCUGGUGCUCUACCAAAAACGUUAUGGAAUUUUUAAAGACAUCCUUUUAGCAAACUGUUAACAGCCAUUCCAGAUGAUCCUUCUCAAAACUGCAUAGCAGACCGUGAAAUACUUGUAAAUGUGUUCAUCUUGUCCUUCUACCGUUGUUGUCAUCUAAUGGACUGAGUUGUAGGAAGUUCAAGGUAUGCUGAAUACAGAACUGCUUUCUUUCAGGAGGAUGCUCAACAUCAUCUUAAAAAAAAUUAAGAUCUCUUCAAGUGUCUCAGACAAGGAGCAAGAAGUACAAUUCUUCACAGUCAGCUACUUCAGCAACCACUUUGCAAACCUAAAAGUCUCUUAGUGUCAUAUUUUUAAUUGAAUCCUAAAUGCCUAGAGAACUUGAAAUGAAGAAUUUCCCACCCUGAAAUCUCAACGUGCAGUACAAAUCACAGAGUCAUAGAAUCACGGAAUUGCAGGGGUUGGUAGAGAGCUCAAGAAAUCAAGUCCAACCCUGCUGCUAUAGAAGGCACCCUGCAAUAGGUUGUGCAGGUAGGCAUCCAGGCAGGUCUUGCGUAUCUCCAUAGAAGGAGACUCUUCAGCCUCUCUGGGCAACCUGUUCCAGUGCUCUGUCACCCAUACUGUAAAGAAGUUUUUCUGCAUGUUUACCAACAGAGUCAGGUUUUCUGGAUUCAAAACAGAAGAUCAUUCUUUGUGAUGAACUGGUACCUGCUGGCCCUGAUGGCAAGCAGAGACACGUCAGUAGUUUAGUAGCAAUCUCCUGGACAGUAAAGCAAGAAGUAUACAGAAUCAAAGCACCCUGAAAAGCUUAUGAAAUAGAGAUGACAUUGGAAGUACAGAUUGAAGGAUGGGCUAGGAGGAAGCAGACAAUCCAAAUGUGCAAAGAGAAAAAGAAAGGAUAAACUGAAUGCUGAAGGUUAUUGCAGGGAUGACUGGUGAUGGUGUAGAGUGAUCAGAUUUUUUUCUCUUUUCCAGCCAGAAGUCAUUGUACUCGUUUUGGAAAAGUUAUAUUCAUAUGAUUGAGAAGAUUAAUUAACAUCUGUCCUGUGGUUUUAAGGAAGAAACUGACAGUCCAAAAAAAUGAAAGUGAAGUUGCGAUCUCAAGUAACUGGGAAUUCAAAUUCAGCAUCGCACAGUGGCAUAGCUGCUCUGUAGACAAUAAAGGAUCUCUGAGCAUGUUAUGAGCACUCUGGAGUGGAGCAUCGCCAUCCACCUCAAUGGAGAUGCUCUCUUCUUCCUCUUGCUGAUGACACCCCCUCCUGGGAGAUGUCUCGACACAGGGUUCUGCAGGAGCUCCAGGUGGGCAGGCUUUACCCUUUCAUUUUAGUACCUUGAGACAUUUAGUCUUAUGAGGAGCAGCUGAUGGAAUUGGGAUUGUUCAGCCUGGAGAAGAGAAAGCUCAGGGUAGACUUUAUUGCUCUCUACAGCAACCUGAAAGGAGGUAGAGAGAGAGGUGGGAGUCAACCUUGUCUCCCAGGCAACAGCUAUAGGACUUUAGCUACACCAGAGGAGGUUCAGGUUGGAUACCAGGAAAAACUUAUUCCCCAAAAGAAUGGUUGGGCUCUGGAACAGGCUGCCCUGGGAGGUGGUUGAGUCACCGCCCUUGGAGGUGUUCAAGAACUGUGUAGAUGUGAUACUGAGGGACAUGGUCUAGUGGUAUGGCGUUGAUGGGUUGAUGGGUGGUCUAAAUGAUCUUAGUGGUCUUUCCAAACUUAAUGAUUUUAUGAUUCUGUGAUUAUAGUCGGCAGUUGCCUAAGGUCUAAUGCUAUAUGUUAGGACUCUUGUUUUUAAAAAUUAAUUAGAUGUAUCUACUGCUCGCAGGUUUUCAUUACCUUUAUCCUGAUUCUUAUUCCAUGUUCUUAACUGUGUUUAUACUGCUCAAAUUCCACUUUGCUUCUCUGGGACUGUUUAAGAUGCCAUGCAGCCUAUAGUCCUCAAAUAUUCAUUUUAGAAAAAUGCUUCUUUUCAUAUUUUUGGUGGAUAUUCAGAGGCCAAAGACCCCAGAGGGCUGUGGUCCAUCUUGUCAGAUCAGCUAAUGAUCAAAUGCUUGGAGUUUCUCAAAGUUUCUUCAGCUGUUCUGCAGCAAUAGAGAAUUCUCCUUCUACAUAAAACCUAAGACAUCAACAGAUCUAGGAUUGCACUUCAUCUGAUGAAAACUGUUCACUGAUUUUUUAAAUGUCCCUCAAUUCCUACCUCUCUUUUUAAGAGUCCAGCUGUCUUCUGCUUGAUCCGUUUUUGCCCAAGAUGUGGAUAAUGUUAAGCUGCUCACUUUUCUACUCGCCUGGGCUAGGAGAAUGACCAGGUGCUUCUUUGCACAAGGAGACUGUGCAUGGCUGGAGUAAGGCACAUCUUCUGGGAGCUAAAUAAUCUGUGUAUCUGGUCCUUUGACUGUUGAUGAAAAACUUCUGGAAAAUGAAUAGAAAGGAGAGGAAGAUAUUUUCUCUUUCUCCCUGAACCUGCAGACUUGUGCCUUGCUUUAACUGCUGAAGACCAGUUGGAGUUACAUCCACACCCUUAUUCAGAAGGAAGAAAGGCUGACCAUGUUUACUAUUAGAGGGGACCAGACUUCUGAGCAGCUGCAGAUGAAGGAUAUCACACGCUCCACCUUGAGAUGCAGCAGUAUCCAUGCUGCCACAUUUUUCCUAGGUGAUUUUAGCAGCUCAGAUUUGUUCUGCUCCUUUUCUGCCUUGCUCAUCUGAUUCUUCUGGUUUGCCACUCAAAUGCACAUGCUCCUGUUCUUUCUACCUCACACAAACAAGUCUUACUAUUAAUUAUACUUGCCUUCCAGCCCUACUAUUCACAAUCCAGUAAACAGAGAUGCAUCUAACAAAGAAGACAGGAAAGGGUGGGAAGCUGGGAGAUCCAUCUCCAAGUUUUGCUCCCAGGUCAUAUCUCUUUCCUUGCUUAAUUAUGCUCUGUAAAGUUUAAAAGAGCUGUGCUAGUAUAUAGUGCAGUUAAUUAUAUUGCAUUUGUAAUCAGGCCAUAAAAGAGAAACCCUUGAACCACAGCUAUAUUGUUCCAGGCACCGCAGUCUGUAGACUUCUUCCUUUGAAUUUCAUUCCAUGUGAGCCAGCGGUAAUAGGUUCUUGCAGUAUCCAAAACUCCUGCAGUCUUUUUCAGCCUGCCCUGGCCAGCAGCCCAUCAGCUGUUCCACAAACAAACAUAUAUUUCUCUCUCUAUUUGUUUCUUCUUUUUUAUCCCACUGUACAAGCAAUUAGCUAUUGAAUCCAUAAUAAGCCAAUCCAGUCCAACCCACAUGAUUAUUUUGCUUCUCAUCAAUUUAUUCAGCUCACGUAGAGGGUUUUAUCAUAUUUACAAUAUCACAGCUAUUUGUGUGGGAGUUAUAAAAGGUAAGGAGUAAUUUUAGGGAAAGAAAAUCCAGUUGUAGGCUUUGGCUGUUUUUGUUGAGCUCCAGAAUGCGGGGGUUCAUUCCUCUGCUUGGGAGGGGAAAUUCUGGAUUCAGUCAGCAGAGUUCAGAUCCACUGAGGGAGGAACAGAAAUGCGUAAUUAGACAAACAGAAAAUCACUUGGAAAAAAAAAAGGAGUCAGCUUUUGCAAACUCUUUUUUUUUUUUUUGCAGGGUUAUUUUCUUAAGUAUUAACACACUUCUCUGAACCUUGGAGAUGGACUUCACCCUCAUCUGUUAUUGCUUUAAAGUGAAUUUAUUAUCACCAGGGAGGGAGAAAUGAAUGGCAUGGUGACUCUGGUUGGAGAGGCUGGAUAUUUGUGCGAGGUGACUUGUAAAUGUUGCUGCUGCUGUAGCCCCACAUCCCCACAAGGUGUGCACGUGGUUUGGCCUCUGCAUUUCAAGGCCCCAUGUUCCUCACUGUGUGCUUGGUGAACACUUUUGGAUCCAGGCAACCAUCCAGCUCUACUUGAGAUCUGACUGCAAAUCAAACUAAUAACUUCCUUGGCCUGCAGCAAAAAGAAAAAGAUAAUAAUGCCUUCCCAACUGCUUCAUUUUUUGCUAUUAUUAGGAUUUAUUGACAUAACAGUUGUAUUGGGAGGCCCAGCUGAGGCUCCCGGGUUGAACUUAUCCCCCAGAUCCCCCAGUCCCCACCCUUCUCCCUGAUACUUCUGCUUCAUAUACAAUAUGACUCUGACUUGAGCAUGCUGUGCAUUGUGUUAUCCCCAUACAUGAUGGCACUGUUCUCAUUCUGCCAUCAAAAUAAAGCCUAUGCAGGAACAGCAUGGAAGGCUAUGUUUUCUGUAUGACUGGCAGUUCAUGAAAGGAUCUAUUUCAGGCUAACUCAUGAGAAAGGUAUGGACUCCUAGG
ensembl:lncRNA